UUGACCUCGGAUCAGGUAGGGAUACCCGCUGAACUUAAGCAUAUCAAUAAGCGGAGGAAAAGAAACCAACAGGGAUUGCCCUAGUAACGGCGAGUGAAGCGGCAACAGCUCAAAUUUGAAAUCUGGCGCAAGCCCGAGUUGUAAUUUGCAGAGGAUGCUUCAGGGCAGCGACCGGUCUAAGUUCCUUGGAACAGGACGUCGUAGAGGGUGAGAAUCCCGUAUGCGACCGGUUGGCACCCGUCACGUAGCUCCUUCGACGAGUCGAGUUGUUUGGGAAUGCAGCUCUAAAUGGGAGGUAAAUUUCUUCUAAAGCUAAAUACCGGCCAGAGACCGAUAGCGCACAAGUAGAGUGAUCGAAAGAUGAAAAGCACUUUGGAAAGAGAGUUAAAAAGCACGUGAAAUUGUUGAAAGGGAAGCGCAUGCAACCAGACUUGUCGGCGGUGUUCCGCCGGUCUUCUGACCGGUCCACUCGCCGCCGGCAGGCCAGCAUCAUCUGGGCGCGCCGGACAAAGGCGCGGGGAAUGUAGCUCCUCGGAGUGUUAUAGCCCCGCGCACAAUACGGCGCCGCUCGGGUGAGGUCCGCGCUUCGGCUAGGAUGCUGGCGUAAUGGUUGUCUGCGGCCCGUCUUGAAACACGGACCAAGGAGUCUAACAUCUAUGCGAGUGUUCGGGUGUCAAACCCCUACGCGGAAUGAAAGUGAACGGAGGUGGGAAGCGCAAGCUGCACCAUCGACCGAUCCUGAUGUCUUCGGAUGGAUUUGAGUAAGAGCAUAGCUGUUGGGACCCGAAAGAUGGUGAACUAUGCCUGAAUAGGGUGAAGCCAGAGGAAACUCUGGUGGAGGCUCGCAGCGGUUCUGACGUGCAAAUCGAUCGUCAAAUUUGGGUAUAGGGGCGAAAGACUAAUCGAACCAU
rnacentral:rRNA from 1 species